UACGGAGGGGGCUAGCGUUGAUUCGGAAUUACUGGGCGUAAAGCGCACGUAGGCGGCUUUGCAAGUUAGAGGUGAAAGCCCGGGGCUCAACUCCGGAAUUGCCUUUAAAACUGCAUCGCUAGAAUUGUGGAGAGGUAAGUGGAAUUCCGAGUGUAGAGGUGAAAUUCGUAGAUAUUCGGAAGAACACCAGUGGCGAAGGCGACUUACUGGACACAUAUUGACGCUGAGGUGCGAAAGCAUGGGGAGCGAACAGG
rnacentral:rRNA from 1 species